CUAGCCUCUUUAAUCUGUCCUCACAUGGGACCCAUUCCAAACCCCUAAUCAUUUUAGUUGCCCUUCUCUGAAACAUUUCUAGUGCCAGUGUAUCAUUUUUUUGUGA